rnacentral:rRNA from 1 species
CGUAUCACCCAAGACAACUUUACGGAGUUGACGAUUGACGGAGCGAAGCGACGUCAAAGCGUUCAUUAAAGUCGAGUUGGCUUAGGGAUACGUUCGUUGGGUAGGGGAGCGUUCUGUAAGCCUGUGAAGGUGGCCUGUGAGGGUUGCUGGAGGUAUCAGAAGUGCGAAUGCUGACAUAAGUAACGAUAAAGCGGGUGAAAAGCCCGCUCGCCGGAAGACCAAGGGUUCCUGUCCAACGUUAAUCGGGGCAGGGUGAGUCGACCCCUAAGGCGAGGCCGAAAGGCGUAGUCGAUGGGAAACGGGUUAAUAUUCCCGUACUUGGUGUUACUGCGAAGGGGGGACGGAGAAGGCUAUGUUGGCCGGGCGACGGUUGUCCCGGUUUAAGCGUGUAGGUGUGUGUUCCAGGUAAAUCCGGUUCACUUUAACACUGAGGCGUGACGACGAGGCACUACGGUGCUGAAGCAACAAAUGCCCUGCUUCCAGGAAAAGCCUCUAAGCAUCAGGUAACAUCAAAUCGUACCCCAAACCGACACAGGUGGUCAGGUAGAGAAUACCAAGGCGCUUGAGAGAACUCGGGUGAAGGAACUAGGCAAAAUGGUGCCGUAACUUCGGGAGAAGGCACGCUGACACGUAGGUGAAGUGAUUUACUCAUGGAGCUGAAGUCAGUCGAAGAUACCAGCUGGCUGCAACUGUUUAUUAAAAACACAGCACUGUGCAAACACGAAAGUGGACGUAUACGGUGUGACGCCUGCCCGGUGCCGGAAGGUUAAUUGAUGGGGUCAGCGCAAGCGAAGCUCCUGAUCGAAGCCCCGGUAAACGGCGGCCGUAACUAUAACGGUCCUAAGGUAGCGAAAUUCCUUGUCGGGUAAGUUCCGACCUGCACGAAUGGCGUAAUGAUGGCCAGGCUGUCUCCACCCGAGACUCAGUGAAAUUGAACUCGCUGUGAAGAUGCAGUGUACCCGCGGCAAGACGGAAAGACCCCGUGAACCUUUACUAUAGCUUGACACUGAACAUUGAGCCUUGAUGUGUAGGAUAGGUGGGAGGCUUUGAAGUGUGGACGCCAGUCUGCAUGGAGCCGACCUUGAAAUACCACCCUUUAAUGUUU